UGCCAGCCGCCGCGGUAACACGGGGGGCGCAAGCGUUAUUCGGAAUUAUUGGGCGUAAAGGGCGCGUAGGCGGCUUGGUAAGUCGGAUGUGAAAGCCCCGGGCUUAACCUGGGAAUUGCAUUCGAUACUGCCCGGCUAGAGUAUGGUAGAGGAAAGCGGAAUUCCGGGUGUAGCGGUGAAAUGCGUAGAUAUCCGGAGGAACACCGGUGGCGAAGGCGACUUCCUGGGCCAAUACUGACGCUGAGGCGCGAAAGCGUGGGUAGCAAACAGGAUUAGAUA
rnacentral:rRNA from 1 species